rnacentral:lncRNA from 1 species
GCUUCCCUACUUUUUAUUCUGAUUGGGCUAUAUUAGUGUCAAUCUAGAAUGCUCCGGAAUGAGGCGGGUCUGUUGGCCUAUAGUUAUCCAAUCGGAUAUUGAAUGCGAGUGGAAGUCACUCUGGCUCUAGAGUUAUAUUCUCUCUAUGGUCCCAGUACUUGGCAACGCGCUGAGAGCGCUGGUCCCGGGUACAGGAAGUGACGGAAGCUGGCGGAGGGGCGCGAGGUUUCAAGAUGGCGGUGCCUGUGUGGUUGACCGAGACCCAGAGGUGAAGGCCCCUUCGGAGAAAGUACUCGGGAACCCCUCGCUAGUCGCUCUCGCCGUCCCGGGAGACUCUCAGUCGUUUUUUUUUUUUAAUGAAGAAGUAAACCAUAUAAACUGUCAACAUGGGACGAAGAUCAACAUCCUCCACCAAGAGUGGGAAGUUUAUGAACCCCACAGACCAAGCCCGUAAGUGCCCUUAGUGUGCAAUGAGGAAGAGUUAAACGUGGCAGAUGAUUUCACUGUGGCCUAAGCUCAGCGUCGGUAGCGAGGGUUAUGGGAGGUCAUGUAGAAUUCUUAUAGUUAAAAUUAAUUCAUGGUUAGAAUGUUCAGAAAGUAAGUUACUUAACAUAUGUUUUCUCUCAAACUUGAUUGGUUAGUGGGAUAAAAUUAAGUUUUUUUGUGUUAGAAAUUUUUAACAAAUGAGUUAAGUGUGGGAUUUGAGACUCUCUUUCCCUCCUUGUGGUUUAGUUAUUUCUGUAAAAACAAAAUAUUGGCAUUUUGGGUUGAGGGUUAUAAGCAGUACAGUUUCUUAGUGGGUCAAAGCCACCAAGGCUGUUACAUAUCCAUGUACUCCAUAG